rnacentral:tRNA from 1 species
AAGUUAUUGAACUUGUAAAGUGUAUAUUUUGAAAGUAUAAAAAAGAAGUAAAAAAUCUUCUAAUAACU